GCCCCAAAAAAAUAAUCCUAGACCUAAAUAUAAAGUACAAAUUAAUUCAGCAUUUUCCUUAUAUUACCGUUUUAUAAAUUUGUCCAGCGAUGGUGUCUCUCAUGAAUAUUUGGCGCAUGAAAAUCAGUCAUGGAUGAUAUAUAUUUGAUGCAUUCAUGCCGUUCAUUUAUUUUCUAUACUGACGUGUUUAGUUCAGUUUACUGAAGUUUCUCUGCGUCGAAAACGAUACAUCUAAAUUUAUUUAUUUAUAGAGUGCUGCAGUCCUGAAAGGAAAGAGAGAAAAUACCAUCUGAGAUUAAAAAAAAAAGGAAAGAGAGAAAAGU
rnacentral:lncRNA from 1 species